UUGCAGUGAUGACCAUUUAGGACACCUUUGUAUAAACCAUGAAAAUAAAACAGAGUCUGAGCAAU
ensembl:snoRNA SNORD58 Small nucleolar RNA SNORD58